UUUCCCAUUUGACUACCACGUUUUCUCCAAUUAGUAGAUUUCAGUGGCUAUGCUUAUGGGAUAGAUGAAAACUGCCAUGAUCUGAAGAGGGAGAGGAUUUGGUACCCUCCUUCUAUAUGAAAUGGCUGGACAGAAGAUG
rnacentral:snoRNA from 14 species